GACGAACGCUGGCGGCGUGCUUAACACAUGCAAGUCGAACGGAAAGGCCCUGCUUUUGUGGGGUGCUCGAGUGGCGAACGGGUGAGUAACACGUGAGUAACCUGCCCUAGACUUUGGGAUAACUUCAGGAAACUGGGGCUAAUACCGGAUAGGAGCUCCUGCUGCAUGGUGGGGGUUGGAACGUUUCGGCGGUUGGGGAUGGACUCGCGGCUUAUCAGCUUGUUGGUGGGGUAGUGGCUUACCAAGGCUUUGACGGGUAGCCGGCCUGAGAGGGGGACCGGCCACAUGGGGACUGAGAUACGGCCCAGACUCCUACGGGAGACAGCAGUGGGGAAUAUUGCACAAUGGGCGGAAGCCUGAUGCAGCAACGCCGCGUGCGGGAUGACGGCCUUCGGGUUGUAAACCGCUUUCGCCUGUGACGAAGCGUGAGUGACGGUAAUGGGUAAAGAAGCACCGGCUAACUACGUG
rnacentral:rRNA from 1 species